rnacentral:tRNA from 1 species
UUCUUCUUAUCUUAGUUUAAAAAGAAUCACGGUUUUGGGGAUCGUUGGUCUCAUAAGAGAGGUUUGAUGAAGAAA